rnacentral:ncRNA from 3 species
UCGAGCAGAGUGCGGGGAAACUCGCACGCUCCGUUCCAAGGGGGCGGCGACGCCGUAAUGCGUCGCUGCUACCCGAC